rnacentral:lncRNA from 1 species
GUUUUCCUUCUAAGACUUAAGAACUCUACUUUCUAAGAGCUAACUUUGGAAGGAAUGUUUCUGGUCUGGAAAAUUUGGAGAGCAACCGCAAAAGGAAUUCAUGUCCAGGAGGAACUAGGAGUAGGGUGGGGAGCUCAGUUUCCUUUGAGACAGAUUGAAAUAAAUAUGUCUGUCUGAAAUAGUCAAAAAGAUCUAUUUCUUUCUUUCAUCAUUUUGCUAAAAAGUUCAAACUUGAUCAAAUUCAAGACAGACUCAGCCCAGGCACC